CGCGGCCUAUCAGCUUGUUGGUGGGGUAGUGGCUUACCAAGGCUUUGACGGGUAGCCGGCCUGAGAGGGUGACCGGCCACAUUGGGACUGAGAUACGGCCCAGACUCCUACGGGAGGCAGCAGUGGGGAAUAUUGCACAAUGGGCGGAAGCCUGAUGCAGCAACGCCGCGUGCGGGAUGACGGCCUUCGGGUUGUAAACCGCUUUCGCCUGUGACGAAGCGUGAGUGACGGUAAUGGGUAAAGAAGCACCGGCUAACUACGUGCCAGCAGCCGCGGUGAUACGUAGGGUGCGAGCGUUGUCCGGAUUUAUUGGGCGUAAAGGGCUCGUAGGUGGUUGAUCGCGUCGGAAGUGUAAUCUUGGGGCUUAACCCUGAGCGUGCUUUCGAUACGGGUUGACUUGAGGAAGGUAGGGGAGAAUGGAAUUCCUGGUGGAGCGGUGGAAUGCGCAGAUAUCAGGAGGAACACCAGUGGCGAAGGCGGUUCUCUGGGCCUUUCCUGACGCUGAGGAGCGAAAGCGUGGGGAGCGAACAGGCUUAGAUACCCUGGUAGUCCACGCUGUAAACGGUGGGUACUAGGUGUGGGGUCCAUUCCACGGGUUCCGUGCCGUAGCUAACGCUUUAAGUACCCCGCCUGGGGAGUACGG
rnacentral:rRNA from 2 species